rnacentral:lncRNA from 1 species
GGAUUCAAGGUAAAGCUCAUCAAGUUUCAAAGACUAUUUUUGCAGAGAAGCUUACUAGAAGUGGGUCCUUAAGCCAAAAUUUUACGUCACAAGUUAAGUACUUUUCCUGAAUCUAGAUUUGCCUAAUCUAGAGCAUUCACUUGUCCUACACUAGCUUUCUUUUAAAAUCCAACUUUUGUUUCGCUUGUUAUCUACGAUGAGGGUCGAAGAUCUAGUCUUCAUAUCCGAGAAGUUCGGCGAUCCGAAUCGAUUAAUACCUAGCUGGGGAUCUCCAACCACACGACAUAUGCUUCUCUUAACUCUUUUGCACAUGUCUACCAUUCCCACGGAUCAAGAAAUAAGACCACACAUGAAAGUGGUAUGCCCUUUUGAUCCACCGGAGAUGACAGAUGUUGCUUGACCACUUCACAAACAACAUAGAAAUUGUUUCAAGGAGGAGGUCUACGAAAGAUAACAUAUUGAUAUAAUCUCAUAAUGGAUUAUGACUACUAACUGUGAUACUAGUGUGUGCCGAGUAGCGCAACCAUGUGCGCACACACAGAAGGCCCUCGGUUUCGUCACGGCACCACAGGUUUUAGUCAUAACACCAUUAUCAGACAUAACCAAUAAGAAAUCUCAUGCGACACAAUUGAAUUGGGCAAGGGUGACAAUGUACAAAGAGACUCUACCUAUCAAAAUGGCUACAAGUAGAGAGCCAAUAGAUCAUGGCCCGAUGAAAUGAAUAAGGCAUGGCCAUAACCAAAAAUAAAUUGAGGAGGGAGUACGAUGGGAGACUGUUAAUUCAGCCCCAAGCAUAUUUCUAUGCCCAUCAUAGAGAUCACAAGGUCAAGGAUUAAAUUGGUAUGCCUUCGAUAGGUAUGGGGAAACCAAAGGCCUCAAAUACAAGAAAAUGGUCGGACAUGUCUUUCCUAGGUUAGGUUGAUAAAGUAACAUGGCGGUCCUUAAAAACAGGCAAACUGGAUAAGGUACAUCAGCUUGCACCAACCGAACAAGGACAUGGUUUAGGAUGGAGACAUGACUCGAAAUUCUUGUUUUAAGCUGGGUACACUUUAGGUCCAACAAAGAAAUUAUCUAGGCAUUUAUUUUAAUGUGUUUGGUCCUGGAGUGAUAACGGAAAAAUUUAAGUUUUGGGUCAUGGUUCACUAAAUAAGAACAUGGCAUAAUUCUGGGUUUAGGCAAACAAGUCACUAACCUUCUAUCGACACAUCAAGCACAAAAGCAAACACCAUAUAAGACCUUAAUAGAUUACCUAAAGAAUGGAGGACACCUAUUUCAUCGAAGUUCAUAAUUCAGCAUUACAUCAUAUUAUCUACAAUCAAUGGUUACUGGAAUAAAGAUGAGAGAAGCAUCUUGGGUGUAUAGGUGACAAACAUGAUGCAACAAUCAGGAUGCAUGCUCGUCCUACACGUCCUCACUGAUUUUGCCAACCAAAUGUGGCAAUAGCGUUCUAUCUCGGUGGCAUACUUACGACUCUCACGAUAUUUCGCUAGUCGCCAACUACACAUACGUUUUCGAGGUUAGUGUACCUGCAGAAAAAUCCAUCACAACCCAUUUUUCCCAAUGAUGCAGUUCACACAUGACAGUUUAUACUCCAUAUAUUGCUAUAUGGAGGCCAACUCAUCAUUAAGCGCCGAGCCACGCAUAGGCGCCGUUGCCACACUUUAACCAUAGGGCAACUCAUUAUGGUAACUUACCUUCUUACCUAAGCGUAGGUGCGUCGUUACCAAUACAUUACACUUCUCAGUAUUCCCAUGUCUGUAUACCCAUACACAUCCAUGGGGUACUGAAUUCCCAGAAAAGUAAAUACUCCACAUCGUAGCCUUCAUAUAUACAUAUGUAGAACAUGUAUAUAAUCAAGCGCUACCAUUAAGCACUUCCCUAGACCGAUGGUUGUUCGGUCAUGCUCUCACAUCUCACCUUACCUGAGCGUCGAUCCAUUCAGAACUGAAUGGCCUCAAAAGUAACAAUACAAAUGUAUGCCAUACCCCCGGUUAUGGGUUAGUGGUUUUGAACUAAGCCACCUGAUAGUCCUUAACUUAGGGCUUAAUAGAGGAUGUCGCUAGCAUUAUAGUUUUUUUUCAAAGCUAUUUUUCAAAACUAAACAAUGUGUUUAGUUGAAAAUAGGUUUUUCAAAACCAAAAAUUUUGUUUUGAAAAUACGUAUGUGACCGUAUAUACUUAAUCCUGCUCCGAUACCAGCUGUGGCAGAACCUCCCAAGUUAUCGGGCCCACAUCACCUGUCCUUGUCUCAAAGACCUCAGACGGCUAUGCAUGUGCACCAAAUAACUUAACAGGAUCCGUCCGAGUGUCCCAAGGACCCCGGAUAAACCACUCAUAACCAGGAUCACAAGAUUAAGUAAUCACAAAUCACACACCAACAUUUUUGCAGCGGAAAUCUUAUUACCAAAUUUUACAAGUUACAUCAAGUUUUACAUUAUAUUUAUCGGAGUGGUUACAGAAGUGGUUCAAAGAAUAAACUUUGAAAUGUUAUAAAAUUAUUUAUAAGUUUGAAAUAUAUGCUAGCUCAAGUGACUAUCCUCAAUAAGAAUUAUAGAAGGGUUACUUAGAUUUAUAAGAAGGCCGAGCCCACCGGCACUUAACACCAUCAUCAGCAGCACAAAACUACAACCUGAAAAACAACAGGGAAUAAAACCCUGAGUAUGGAAUUACUCAGCAAGACUUACCCGACUAAAGAAAAGACUCUCAAGGGUAUGCUGGCUAGAGGGAUUCAAGGUAAAGCUCAUCAAGUUUCAAAGACUAUUUUUGCAGAAAAGCUUACUAGAAGUGGGUCCUUAAGCCAAAAUUUUACAUCACAAGUUAAGUACUUUUCCUGAAUCUAGAUUUGCCUAAUCUAGAGCAUUCACUUGUCCUACACUAGCUUUCUUUUAAAAUCCAACUUUUGUUUCGCUUGUUAUCUACGAUGAGGGUCGAAGAUCCAGUCUUCAUAUCCGAGAAGUUCGGCGAUCCGAAUCGAUUAAUACCCAGCUGGGGAUCUCCAACCACACGACAUAUGCUUCUCUUAACUCUUUUGCACAUGUCUACCAUUCCCACGGAUC